AAAAGAAUGGGCAGCCUAGUGGUUGCUCAGGUGAGCGCAGGUACACAGACCAGGAAGUAUCUCUGCUCCUAACCUCUCUUUAUGUAUGCAUGAAGCUAAUUGUUCAAGUCCAGGGGAAACUGGUGAGGUUCCCCGAGGGAUUGAUUGCCUCACAGCUGCUAAGUAUACAGAGGCACCUUUUGGCAUUGCUGACUUCUCCUAUGCGAAGCCCUGGGCUCCGAAGUCACCUCUGUUUCCUGGCUUUCCAACAGGUAGUCCUCAUCCUCCUGGCCCCCAAUCUCCACUGCAUCAGAGACACCUGGACUUGGGGUCAGGUCUGGGGAGAAGCAGCAGCUGGACACGUUGCUCAAGCACCUUUCAGAUAAUGGGGGUGAGGAGACGGAGUUUCACCAUGUUGCCUGAGAAUCAUGUGAUCCUCCCAGCAAUUUGAAUGGACACAAAACUAUGUUUGAAAUAUACAGCAAGAUGGCCACCUGCAAACCAGGAAGAGAGCCCCUACCAGGCUGGUACCUUAAUCUUAGACUUCUCAGCCUGCAGAUUUGUGAGAAAUAAAUGCUUGUUGUUAAAGCC
rnacentral:lncRNA from 1 species